rnacentral:tRNA from 1 species
GCGCCCGUAUGCAACUGGUACGCAGCUUGAUUGUCGAUCAAGUGAUGGGAGUUCAAAUCUCCUCGGGUGCG